rnacentral:rRNA from 1 species
GACGAACGCUGGCGGCGUGCUUAACACAUGCAAGUCGAACGGAAAGGCCCUGCUUUUGUGGGGUGCUCGAGUGGCGAACGGGUGAGUAACACGUGAGUAACCUGCCCUUGACUUUGGGAUAACUUCAGGAAACUGGGGCUAAUACCGGAUAGGAGCUCCUGCUGCAUGGUGGGGGUUGGAAAGUUUCGGCGGUUGGGGAUGGACUCGCGGCUUAUCAGCUUGUUGGUGGGGUAGUGGCUUACCAGGGCUUUGACGGGUAGCCGGCCUGAGAGGGUGACCGGCCACAUUGGGACUGAGAUACGGCCCAGACUCCUACGGGAGGCAGCAGUGGGAAAUAUUGCACAAUGGGCGGAAGCCUGAUGCAGCAACGCCGCGUGCGGGAUGACGGCCUUCGGGUUGUAAACCGCUUUCGCCUGUGACGAAGCGUGAGUGACGGUAAUGGGUAAAGAAGCACCGGCUAACUACGUG